rnacentral:rRNA from 1 species
UACGUAGGGUGCAAGCGUUCAUCGGAAUUACUGGGCGUAAAGCGUGCGCAGGCGGCUUUGCAAGACAGAUGUGAAAUCCCCGGGCUUAACCUGGGAACUGCAUUUGUGACUGCAUGGCUGGAGUGCGGCAGAGGGGGAUGGAAUUCCGCGUGUAGCAGUGAAAUGCGUAGAUAUGCGGAGGGACACCGAUGGCGAAGGCAAUCCCCUGGGCCUGCACUGACGCUCAUGCACGAAAGCGUGGGGAGCAAACAGG